GACGAACGCUGGCGGCGUGCCUAAUACAUGCAAGUCGAGCGCAGGAAAUCGACGGAACCCUUCGGGGGGAAGUCGACGGAAUGAGCGGCGGACGGGUGAGUAACACGUAAAGAACCUGCCCUCAGGUCUGGGAUAACCACGAGAAAUCGGGGCUAAUACCGGAUGGGUCAUCGGACCGCAUGGUCCGAGGAUGAAAGGCGCUUCGGCGUCGCCUGGGGAUGGCUUUGCGGUGCAUUAGCUAGUUGGUGGGGUAAUGGCCCACCAAGGCGACGAGGCAUAGCCGACCUGAGAGGGUGAUCGGCCACACGGGGACUGAGACACGGCCCAGACUCCUACGGGAGGCAGCAGUAGGGAAUCUUCCACAAUGGACGAAAGUCUGAUGGAGCAACGCCGCGUGAACGAUGAAGGCCUUCGGGUCGUAAAGUUCUGUUGCAAGGGAAGAACAAGUGCCGCAGGCAAUGGCGGCACCUUGACGGUACCUUGCGAGAAAGCCACGGCUAACUACGUGCCAGCAGCCGCCGUAA
rnacentral:rRNA from 1 species